rnacentral:rRNA from 1 species
GAUGAACGCUGGCGGCGUGCCUAAUACAUGCAAGUCGAGCGAACAGACGAGGAGCUUGCUCCUCUGACGUUAGCGGCGGACGGGUGAGUAACACGUGGAUAACCUACCUAUAAGACUGGGAUAACUUCGGGAAACCGGAGCUAAUACCGGAUAAUAUAUUGAACCGCAUGGUUCAAUAGUGAAAGACGGUUUUGCUGUCACUUAUAGAUGGAUCCGCGCCGCAUUAGCUAGUUGGGAAGGUAACGGCUUACCAAGGCAACGAUGCGUAGCCGACCUGAGAGGGUGAUCGGCCACACUGGAACUGAGACGCGGUCCAGACUCCUACGGGAGGCAGCAGUAGGGAAUCUUCCGCAAUGGGCGAAAGCUUGACGGAGCAACGCCGCGUGAGAGAUGAAGGUCUUCGGAUCGUAAAACUCUGUUAUUAGGGAAGAACAAAUGUGUAAGUAACUAUGCACGUCUUGACGGUACCUAAUCAGAAAGCCACGGCUAACUACGUG